rnacentral:lncRNA from 1 species
CCACUUCAUUAGGACGCCCUUUUGGGUUUUCAUCCUAAUCCUUUUUGUUUAUCAAGUCGCCCAUUUUCGGGUUUUCAUCUUGAUUUUUAUUUUUCUUUUCUUUCCUUUUUUGUUUUCUUUUUUGUUUCUCUGUUUUUUGUUUUUUUUUGGUUUUUUUUAGGCAUAAUAUUUCUUCACAACAUCUGAGUUCACUGGAUUAGGUAAUUCUUUCCCAUCCAUCUCAGUGAGAAUCAAAGCCCCUCCCGAGAAUGCCUUUUUUA